GCAAGCUGCCACGAGCCAAACUUGUGGCUCUCAACUCCUCUCCACUGAGCGGGGGAGUGAGCUCUUCCCCACUUCAACGCACGCAUGACACGGUUCCGUGUGCACGAUCCCUCUGUAAGCGUAUUUGCUGGCUCUGUUUGCAAUCUCUAUCAGGCUUUCCUGCAUCGCGAAGAACUCGCAGUUGGUCCCAGGCUGUUAUGCUACGUUUCCAGGCUUGCAGAAGGAUUAGAGCCAUUUCCAUCUUGGAACUCUGGCUUGACGGUGGUUACAGGUGUUUCAGAAGUUGAUAAGCCUGGUAAAGUCAGCGAGGAAGGAGUAUUGAAGAACAGCAGUAGAUCAAAUAGGAGAAAUACAUUGAUCGAUGGAGAUGAGAAAGUAACUUCUAAUUCUGGAAAUUCCUCACAGGAGCAUCGUAUAAGUGGUGGGGGUGUAUCAGUUACUGGAAACCAUGAAACAAAUACCAAUUUAGAAGUAAAUUUUCGUAAACCACAUUCAACAGAUUCUGGCAUGCAAAUAUCUGUAGUCAAUGCUUUUAAAGCAUAUGAAGAUUUUCUUGAGCAAUUAUGUGGGAUAAAUCCAUCUUCUAGAAGUGAAGGCUUGAAUGUUGCGCUGAAUCAAAAGCCUAAAAUGUCCAGUUCUCCUUCAUUUGAAAAGAAAAAUUCGUUACCACUGGAAUCAGACACGUCAGUGGCGAGGAUAUGCAAAAACUUGACGCAAAGACCCCAGAUGCACUUCUUAUUAAAGAUUUAGAAACUUCUCUUAUGUGGAGUAUGCAAAGACGUUCGAAGAUUUUGCCAUUAGUUUUUCGCUAUCUUCCUCAUCUACCCACAGUUUUAGCUUCAGACGCCUCCUGGUCAGACCGACAGACUUAGCAUGAAUUUCCGUGGCCGGAACAGGUAUGUGGUGCAACGAUGGCGCCACUUCUUGGUGCUUUCGAAUAUUCAAAGCAUGACAAGAUUUCCAUGGACGAGAAGGCUGCUCUUCGCAUAGGAGAAAUUCGACGUGCCCUUCUCAAGUUUCUGGGAAGUGCUGAGGUGCAGGCUGUAGACACUUCGUUAGAGAAUGUUAGUGAAAAUUGCUAACAGAGCUGAAGAAGUCAAUGUACAAGUUCUGCAAUGAGAUUCUGGAAGGUUGACCGACAAAUUUAAAAUACUGUGCAGAUUGUCAUCAUGCAAUAUUCAGAAGUCAGGUCAGAAUCUUCUAUCAAUGAACUUGGACAUAUUGAACUCAUCGCGACUCAGGUGACCCCUAUAGUAUGGCUGCUACAGAUGGAACAACACGGCAAGGGAGUCCUCUUGUGAGGCUAAGCAUCCGCUUCUACAGCAGAGCUUUCUUACCUUUGAAAGAGUUUAGUUAUGUCGAAAUUCGCUCUGUUCUCGACGUUGAAGGUGACCGACCUUCUAGACCAGCUUUCUGAUUGCCUAUUUGGGGGUAAAAGUGGAGAAUUGUCUGACUACGGAAAUCAAUUUACUGGAAAUUGUUAUAUGCUCAAUCUGCCACACCUCAGCCAUGAGAAGUGUUAGUGCCUUUGAAUUGCUCUUGUGAACAUAUAGCCUCGACUUUUACGUCAUCGACACACAGCAUCGAUAGCUGUGACCAACCAACCAGAAUGUUAAAUUCUCAUUGCCAUGUUCUCUAUUUUAUCAGCUCUGAGGCUUGUAAUUGGAAAUUUUAGUCCCCGCUUAGUAAUUGGAAAUUCACGAGUUAAGCCAAUGUGGAGUUCUAUCACAAUAACCAACCGUCAUUAAAGUCCUUUUGGAAUGAUA